rnacentral:tRNA from 1 species
AGACUAAUUUACUUUUGAUUUGAAAUCAUUUGUUAAGUAUACAAUAGUGCUUAUUAGUCUA